AACGAACGCUGGCGGCAGGCUUAACACAUGCAAGUCGAACGGGUGUAGCAAUACAUCAGUGGCAGACGGGUGAGUAACACGUGGGAACCUUCCUAGGGGUACGGAACAACUCAGGGAAACUUGAGCUAAUACCGUAUACGUCCGUAAGGAGAAAGAUUCAUCGCCCCUAGACGGGCCCGCGUCGGAUUAGGUGGUUGGUGGGGUAACGGACCUACCAAGCCUACGAUCCGUAGCUGAUCUGAGAGGANGAUCAGCCACCACUGGGACUGAGACACGGCCCAGACUCCUACGGGAGGCAGCAGUGGGGAAGUCUUGGACAAUGGGCGCAAGCCUGAUCCAGCCAUGCCGCGUGAGUGAAGAAGGCC
rnacentral:rRNA from 1 species